GUGGCCCCAAGUCAGGCGAGGCCACCCGCCGAAUUUAAGCAUAUAAAUAAGCGGAGGAGGAGAAACUUACGAGGAUUCCCCUAGUAACGGCGAGUGAACCGGGAUCAGCCCAGCUUGAGAAUUUGACGGUUGAAUCCGUCCGAGUUGUAGCU
rnacentral:rRNA from 1 species